AGGCUAGGAGCUCAAAUAAGUGAGUAAAAAAAUCUGAAUUGUCCUUCUAUUGUGCAGAACACUAUGAGCAAGGAGCUUUCCGCAGUUUGAUUAUGUAUAAUGCUAGACAUGAGCAAGAAGCAUACUGGAACAAUGAGCACAUAUUGCCCUGCACCUCUGAGAUCUACACCGCCUCUGAGGGUGACCGCUAUGAGAAAUCGGUCAUUUUCCCAUUAUUCUCCCUGGUUUUUAUUGCUUUUAAAGUUCCAAUAUUUAAUCAGAUUAAUAUUCUAUUAGUAGAUAUCUCUACAACUGGGCUGUAUAUUUGAUGAAAAAUUUGAUAUGGUCCAAUUCUUCUGUUGCAAUCCUUUAUUGUUCUCGGGUAUAUUUUUCUCGCUGUUUUGACAACCACCAGUCAUCUGGUACAUGAUUUUUGAGUGAAUUUUUCUGUUUAAUUUGUGUGUUUA
rnacentral:sRNA from 1 species